rnacentral:rRNA from 1 species
AGCGAACGCUGGCGGCAGGCUUAACACAUGCAAGUCGAGCGGGCGUAGCAAUACGUCAGCGGCAGACGGGUGAGUAACGCGUGGGAACAUACCUUUUGGUUCGGAACAACACAGGGAAACGUUGUGCUAAUACCGGAUAAGCCCUUACGGGGAAAGGAUUAUCGCCGAAAGAUUGGCCCGCGUCUGAUUAGCUAGUUGGUGAGGUAAUGGCUCACCAAGGCGACGAUCAGUAGCUGGCUGAGAGGAUGAUCAGCCACAUUGGGACUGAGACACGGCCCAAACUCCUACGGGAGGCAGC